AUAUUGUACAAUGUGGGAAACCCUGAUGCAGCGACGCCGCGUGAGUGAAGAAGUAUUUCGGUAUGUAAAUCUCUAUCAGCAGGGGAGAAAAGGACGGUACCUUACUAAGAAGUCCCGGCUACCUACGUGCCAGAAGCCGCGGUAAUACGUAGGGGGCAAGCGUUAUCCGGAUUUACUGGGUGUAAAGGGAGCGUAGGUGGCAAAUCAAGUCAGAUGUGAAAGCCCGGGGCUAAACUCCGGGAUUGCAUUUGAAACUGGUAUGCUAGAGUGCAGGAGAGGUAAGUGGAAUUCCUAGUGUAGCGGUGAAAUGCGUAGAUAUUAGGAGGAACACCAGUGGCGAAGGCGGCUUACUGGACUGUAACUGACACUGAGGCUCGAAAGCGUGGGGAGCAAAC
rnacentral:rRNA from 1 species